AUUGAACGCUGGCGGCAGGCCUAACACAUGCAAGUCGAACGAGUGGCGGACGGGGGAGGACAAGAUCGGAAUCUACUCUGUCGUCGGGGAUAACGUAGGGAAACUGACGCUAAUACCGCAUACGAUUGAAUGAGCCGAUGUUGGAUUAGCUAGUUGGCGGGGUAAAGGCCCACCAAGGCGACGAUCCGUAGCUGGUCUGAGAGGAUGAUCAGCCACACUGGAACUGAGACACGGUCCAGACUCCUACGGGAGGCAGCAGUGGGGAAUAUUGGACAAUGGGCGCAAGCCUGAUGCAGCCAUGCCGCGUGUGUGAAGAAGGCCUUCGGGUUGUAAAGCCCUUUUGUUGGGAAAGCGGUACCCAAAGAAUAAGCACCGGCUAACUUCGUGCCAGCAGCCGCGGUAAUUC
rnacentral:rRNA from 1 species